rnacentral:rRNA from 1 species
GACGAACGCUGGCGGCGUGUCUAAUACAUGCAAGUCGACCUUAGUGGCGAACGGGUGAGUAACACGUGGGUAACCUGCCCAUCAGAAGGGGAUAACACUUGGAAACAGGUGCUAAUACCGUAUACUGAUGGCUGGCCCCGCGGUGCAUUAGCUAGUUGGUGGGGUAACGGCUCACCAAGGCCACGAUGCAUAGCCGACCUGAGAGUGUGAUCGGCCACAUUGGGACUGAGACACGGCCCAAACUCCUACGGGAGGCAGCAGUGGGGAAUCUUGCGCAAUGGGCGAAAGUCUGACCGAGCCACGCCGCGUGAGUGAAGAAGGUUUUCGGAUUGUAAAGCUCUGUUGUUGGAGAAGCGGUAUCUAACCAGGAAGCCACGGCUAACUACGUGCCAGCAGCCGCGGUAAUUC